UGCCAAGUGGUACAUUUUUCCUCGGAAAUGGCGUAUUCAAUUACUCCUUAAUUUAUCGUAAUGCGAACUGGUCUUGUGAAGUUUUUCCUAACAUACCGUCUAUCCCACGACUAGACAAUAGUUGGCGGUUGAGAUUUCACCGAUUAUUGCCACUUCGUUCAUCAGGUUAUAAGAAACCGCUGGUUUCUGCAAGGAUGGUUUUGGUAUGAGUUUGACUUUUGAGUUCCUGUUCUAACGGUGAAGCUUGAAGCAUGAAAAGCUGCUCUCUAGAACAGGUUGUUGCAUAGUCACCGACGCCGAAAAAAACUUAUUUCGACGAACGUCACGAGAAGUGGGUGCUGUGAAGGAAGGCAGGGCAGUUCUGGCUCUAGCCUACAUUUCAGUGGAAGACGGGAGACAGACUUUGACUUGCACAAUGUGUGUGUGUGUGUG